GACGAACGCUGGCGGCGUGCUUAACACAUGCAAGUCGAACGAAGUGGCGAACGGGUGAGUAACGCGUAAUCAACCUGCCCUUCAGAGGGGGACCACAGUUGGAAACGACUGCUAAUACCGCAUAAUGAAGGAGGGGAUUGCGUCUGAUGAGCUGGUUGGAGGGGUCACGUCCCACCAAGGCGAUGAUCAGUAGGCGGUCGGAGAGGAUGAACGGCCACAAUGGUACUGAGACACGGCCCAGACUCCUACGGGGGGCAGCAGUGGGGAAUCUUCCGCAAUGGACGAAAGUCUGACGGAGCAACAGCGCGUGAGUGAUGACGGCCUUCGGGUUGGAAAGCUAUGUUAAUCGGGACGCGGUACCGGAAUAGAAAGCCACGGCUAACUACGUGCCAGCAGCCGCGGUAAUAC
rnacentral:rRNA from 1 species